GCAUUGGUUGUUCGGUGGUAGAAUUCUCACCUCUCAUAAGAGAGAUCCAGGUUCAAUUCCCAGCCAAUGUA
rnacentral:tRNA from 1 species